rnacentral:rRNA from 1 species
UACGAAGGGGGCUAGCGUUUUUCGGAAUUACUGGGCGUAAAGCGCACGUAGGCGGACUCUUAAGUCAGGGGUGAAAUCCCGGGGCUCAACCUCGGAACUGCCUUUGAUACUGUGAGUCUCGAGACUGGAAGAGGUGAGUGGAAUUCCUAGUGUAGAGGUGAAAUUCGUAGAUAUUAGGAAGAACACCAGUGGCGAAGGCGGCUCACUGGUACGGUUCUGACGCUGAGGUGCGAAAGCGUGGGGAGCAAACAGG